AGAGUUUGAUUCUGGCUCAGGAUGAACGCUAGCGACAGGCUUAACACAUGCAAGUCGAGGGGCAGCAUAGAAGUAGCAAUACUUUGGUGGCGACCGGCGCACGGUGAGUAACGCGUAUGCAACCUACCUAUCAGAGGGGAAUAACCCGGCGAAAGUCGGACUAAUACCGCAUAAAACAGGGGCACCGCAUGGUGAUAUUUGUUAAAGAAAUUCGCUGAUAGAUGGGCAUGCGUUCCAUUAGGUAGUUGGUGAGGUAACGGCUCACCAAGCCGACGAUGGAUAGGGGAACUGAGAGGUUGGUCCCCCACACUGGUACUGAGACACGGACCAGACUCCUACGGGAGGCAGCAGUGAGGAAUAUUGGUCAGUGGGCGGGAGCCUGAACCAGCCAAGUCGCGUGAAGGAAGAAGGAUCUAUGGUUCGUAAACUUCUUUUGCAGGGGAAUAAAGUGCAGGACGUGUCCUGUUUUGUAUGUACCCUGAGAAUAAGGAUCGGCUAACUCCGUGCCAGCCGCGGC
rnacentral:rRNA from 1 species